ACCUGUCUCCAGUACAAUGAAUAUAAGGUUUAGGUUUUUCAAGCCUGGUUUAAUAUCCUUCACAAAGGUUUCUGUCGUCAUGUUCAAUGCCUUUUGAUUUCCGAUAUCUGAGUAAAUGCACAAUAUGCAAAGUCUCUCUUUAUCACUAGUAUAAAGCUGGUUUAAAAAGAACAGGCAAAGCAUCCUUGCUCAAACUGCAGAGCUGAUCACAUGUCACUG